GACGAACGCUGGCGGCGUGCUUAACACAUGCAAGUCGAACGCUGAGGCUCAGCUUUUGUUGGGUGGAUGAGUGGCGAACGGGUGAGUAACACGUGAGUAACCUGCCCCCUUCUUUGGGAUAACGCCCGGAAACGGGUGCUAAUACUGGAUAUUCACUGGUCUUCGCAUGGGGGUUGGUGGAAAGGGGUUUUCUGGUGGGGGAUGGGCUCGCGGCCUAUCAGCUUGUUGGUGGGGUGAUGGCCUACCAAGGCUUUGACGGGUAGCCGGCCUGAGAGGGUGACCGGUCACAUUGGGACUGAGAUACGGCCCAGACUCCUACGGGAGGCAGCAGUGGGGAAUAUGGCACAAUGGGCGCAAGCCUGAUGCAGCGACGCCGCGUGAGGGAUGGAGGCCUUCGGGUUGUGAACCUCUUUCGCUCAUGGUCAAGCCGCAACAAUGGUUGUGGUGAGGGUAGUGGGUAAAGAAGCGCCGGCUAACUACGUG
rnacentral:rRNA from 1 species